ACGUGGUACUAUAUACCCGGGGACAACAUCUGGAAGCGGUGGCUAAUACCGGAUGUGCCGAAAGGUGAAAGGUUUACAGCCUAAAGAUGAGCUCGCGUCUGAUUAGCUAGUAGGUGGGGUAAAAGCCUACCUAGGCGACGAUCAGUAGCUGGUCUGAGAGGAUGAUCAGCCACACUGGGACUGAGACACGGCCCAGACUCCUACGGGAGGCAGCAGUGGGGAAUUUUCCGCAAUGGGCGAAAGCCUGACGGAGCAAUACCGCGUGAGGGAGGAAGGCUCUUGGGUUGUAAACCUCUUUUCUCAGGGAAGAAAAAAUGACGGUACCUGAGGAAUAAGCAUCGGCUAACUCCGUGCCAGCAGCCGCGGUAAUACGGAGGAUGCAAGCGUUAUCCGGAAUGAUUGGGCGUAAAGCGUCCGCAGGUGGCUGUGUAAGUCUGCUGUUAAAGAGCAAAGCUCAACUUUGUAAGAGCAGUGGAAACUACACGGCUAGAGUGCGUUCGGGGCAGAGGGAAUUCCUGGUGUAGCGGUGAAAUGCGUAGAGAUCAGGAAGAACACCGGUGGCGAAGGCGCUCUGCUAGGCCGCAACUGACACUGAGGGACGAAAGCUAGGGGAGCGAAUGGGAUUAGAUAUCCCCG
rnacentral:rRNA from 1 species